rnacentral:rRNA from 1 species
UACAGAGGGUGCGAGCGUUAAUCGGAAUUACUGGGCGUAAAGGGCGCGUAGGUGGUUUAUUAAGGUUGAUGUGAAAUCCCUGGGCUUAACCUAGGAACGGCAUCGAAGACUGAUAAGCUAGAGUAUUGUAGAGGGUAGUGGAAUUUCCGGUGUAGCGGUGAAAUGCGUAGAGAUCGGAAGGAACACCAGUGGCGAAGGCGGCUACCUGGACAGAUACUGACACUGAGGCGCGAGAGCGUGGGGAGCAAACAGG